CCAUCCUCUUCCUCUCGAUUUCUCGAUUCUGUGCCAUUCCGCUUUCAUUUUCUUCGGUGGAGAACCUGCAGCUCUUCUCUUCGGAAACUGAAGCUCACGCCAGCAUCUCCAGCGAAGACCACUCAUCUUCGGUCUUCCUUCGUGCCUUCAAAUCAGUUCACCGAAGGCAUCAUCAACUUUGGUCGGCCACUCACGCCAGCCUCCACCAAAAGUCAGCCACCGGCAGUCCAGCGAAACUGCCCCUCAUCCGCGCCACCUGCCUGCUCCUUCUUCUGCUUCGGUCAGCAAACGAAACCGCCGAAGCUCGAGUCCAACGUCUUCAGCCCGAGCAUAUCGUGGAGUCCACGAAGACCGAAGCCAGCUUCUAUUCGGUCAGCUUCUCUCCUUCAAUCACCAGCGUGGACUCCUCCCCUGCCAG
rnacentral:lncRNA from 1 species